UGGAACCCCCUCAGUCCAUUAGACUACAAGUUUGAAUGUUGUGUUCUGAAUAUUUGACCAUCAUAGUUUCCUUCUUCCUCUUGUCUCUAAUAGGACUUGAUGAAACUCCCUCAACGUCAACCUCUGGGGCCAAAGCCAAGCCAUCAAAACCUGUGGUCAAACAUCCUGUUCCUCUUGUGUCCUCCAGUCUCUCUCGACUCAAGAGGAGGAUGUGAGAGCAGGACCCCACCUGUGCUGCUGCAACGCUGCUUGUGUAACAGAGGAUUCAUUCUACUCCUUCAACAAGAUGAUCUGUACUUCCAUGCCCUAUUUUAUCAGGAAUGCAUCACAGCACCAGUUCUGGGUUAA
ensembl:lncRNA